UUCCUGGAGAGCACUGAGAGCAGACCCUGGCUGGCAGGAAGCACAUGGAUGUCAGCUGUUACGAUCCUUAGACUCCUCCGUGGCCGGGGAUCGUCAUUCUCCCUAUUUCACAGAUGCACUCAGGACUCAGAGACGCCCAGUGAGUUGCCGAGGGCUCUGUGGCAAGAAACAGGGAUCCGGAUUAGAACUCACCCUUAUGAGACCCAGAUCCUCCUGUGAAUGCGCAGGGGCGGACGUGACAGUGUCUUUUGCCCUCCGGCCAGCAGGAGUUUAAACCCUGACAACGCAGAUGUCCCUCAGCCCGGCCACUCAAUGAGCUCCUGCAGCUCACCUGGCCACGGAGGGUUGUGUGCUGGUUGCAAGAAAUGAGGCUGCCCCAUGCAUGGGGCUGGACACAUCUCUAAGGCUUUCUGCUCAAUAGAAGACCAUAUGAAAAAGAAGGCCCACAAUCCGCAGGAAACACAGCCACAGAUUAAAAAAAACCUGAGUCUGGAGCAUGAAUGUGACCCCUGGAAGUUCACUCGGAGCAAGUAUGUGUGUUCUGCUAGAAAGCUUGCCCGUCUGACAACCCAGAUGCUUCGCUCAGGGCCCCGGCAGCCGUCACUGCAAUGCAGACACGAAGGAGGCGACACCUGCCCCAGUCCGAAGUGGGCAGGAGGUUCACCAGGUUGCGAGAUGCCCAGCCUAUUGUAAAGAUACCAGCUGAUACUUCCUGUGGGUAAAGACAAUCAGCUGACACAGACUCCAAUCACCAAGUGGCCCUGCAGGAGGGGGCAGGGGCUCAUCACAGCCAUGGCCAUGUUGUAGGCCCCAAAGCCGGUCCCCAGCACGGUGAUGACCCCCAGGAACGGCAGAGACCUACAGCAGAGUGGAGGAGGGGGCCUGCGUCUCUCUCCUGUUGUGGCCUGAUGGAGUGGAGGGUGACCUGGGACUGGAGAAGAUCCUCAAUGGAAC